rnacentral:rRNA from 1 species
ACCUACGGGGGGCAGCAGUGAGGAAUAUUGGUCAAUGGGCGAGAGCCUGAACCAGCCAAGUCGCGUGAGGGAGUACUGCCCUAUGGGUUGUAAACCUCUUUUGUCGGGGAGCAAAAGCCGGACGUGUCCGGCUGUGAGAGUACCCGAAGAAAAAGCAUCGGCUAACUCCGUGCCAGCAGCCGCGGGAAUACGGAGGAUGCGAGCGUUAUCCGGAUUUAUUGGGUUUAAUGGGUGCGUAGGCGGAUCGUUAAGUCAGUGGUCAAAUUGAGGGGCGCAACCCCUUCCCGCCAUUGAAACUGGCGCUC